AACUGACACGCACCGAAGAGUACUUGUGUCAUCAACUGACAUUCUUCCUGAUGUCACUUCUCAACAUGCGGACCACCUGUUUUAUGGCCGUGAUUUUGUGGCUCACAACUGGUUCAUCUCGUUGUCAAACACCAAUUCCCAAUGUUCACGGAGGGGUAGGUGCAGUUCUGGGGGUGUCCAACGCCAGCGUCUCCUGCAAGACCCCAGCUCUGAGACACUCUACUGGGAGCCAGAAGGCUCCAUCCUGGCCCUGCACACCUCCAACCUCACUGGAAACACCCAUCAAUUAAGUGGGAGGCAACAGAAGAGGAGAGGAAGACUGUAUGGUUAAAGGCAAGAGAGAG